AAAUAUCACCAUGUUGUCUUUAAGAUGAGGAAUAUACUGGAUGAAUUAGGAUACAAAGUAAGCAGAGUCUAUGAGAACUAGUAGUAUUGGUUUCUGGAAGCCCAAAUCCUUUAAUUACGACUGCAAAUGGGGAUAAUUAAGUAUGUUGCUGGGGAGACACGAGAUCCGAUGAAGGGUUACUGUAUUCGAAAGAGAACUCGCAUUUGCCAACGGAAACACGAGAUUAUCAAAUCAUUUCUCUGCGGCCAUGCAGGAGCACCGUCAGGAAAGGUUUUUGUUCAACAAAUCGAUUCGCAGGCGUGGUUAUGCAUUAAGGAACUUGCCUCCAAACCACGUAGUCUGGGUUCAGGCCCACUGCGUAGCACCUUGCCACGGAAGUAUGAAAAGCAAGGCCUCGGCGAGAUUUGAACUCAGGACAGAAAGCGUCGUAGCUAAACGCCUUCAGUAUUUGGUUCGGCGCUCCAACGAUUUCACCGAAUUAUAUCAAUGAUGAAAAUGACUUUCAAAAUGAAAAUGGAUAACUCGAAGAUCUGAAAACGAAUUAACUAAUUCGUUUGGCACGGAUUAAGAUAUAUGAGCCGAGUGGGUUUGUUGAUGAAGAUAUAUGAUGAAGAUGGUGGAGCAGUGUGACGGUGUAAGGCUGUCACAGGCUCAAAUAUAUGACUCGGUAGUGUCACAGAAGAAGAUCUAUGACUUGUCUUUGAGAAAAAAUGUAAAAAGAAAUAUUAAACAAAAAUAACAUUGAAAGUUUGGAUUAAAAAACAAAAGGCGUAAAAGUCUGUCGCUCUACCUGCCAAAAGCAUUUGUUGUCGUUCCACAAUAUAAUGAAGCUGUUGUUGUUUCGAGACACUGCCCGGUCACUUCUCAAUAUCCAUAUCUAUGAUCAAAAACAUUACAUUCUUAUUUCAUCUUUUAUUCAAACAUAGGGCAUCUUGGAAUACAUUGUCCAAUAUGUCAUUAAUUGUUUAAGAGUGUGAUUUAAGGGAUUUUUUUGGCUGCUAUUACUAGCAUGUCCACUGACUACUUGGAAGCUUACCUACUUAAUUCAUCAGCCCCGAAAGGAUGAAAAGGCAGAGUCGACCUCGGUGGAAUUUGAACUCAGAACGUGCAGUAGACGGACAAAAUGCCACUAAGCAAAGUUUUUGGCAAAAGACCAGCAAUUUUCGAGAACUUCGUCCCUCCCCAGUGCAUAACUGGUACUUGUUUUAUUGACACUGGAAGGAUGAAAAGGCAAAGUCGACCUCGGUGGAAUUUGUGACAACCGAACGUAAUGAGCCACAAGAAGUGCUGUCAAGCAUUUUGUUCGACGCGCUAAUGUUUCUGACUGACCGUCGGCUUAGUAGUAGUAGUAGUAGUAGUAGUAGUAGUAGUAGUAGUAAUAAUAAUAAUAAUAAUAAUAAUAAUAAUAAUAAUAAUAAUAAUAAUAAUAAGGAUAAAAUCAUAAUUAUCAUUUUCGUGUCACUCUAAUAAAUUUAUCGACUUUCUCGCCCUUUAAAAUACAAUAACAAAAUAAUAAACAUAAAUGACAGGAAAACACACAGAAAAAAAGAAAAAGUAAUAGAAAUAAAGCGACGGAUAAUGUGAGGCUUUCAGUAGAUAAUUUUAUUGUGAAGUCAGUUUGAUAGAGGCUGUUUGAUAGAAAGUCUCCUGGGGGAAUGUUAUAAACGAGCUUUUGUGGACACUAUGCUAGGCUUCUUCCUUAGACCAAAAAAUAAAUAAAUAAAUGAAUAAAUAAAUGAAUAAAAUAAAAAAUAAAUAAAAUUUCAAAAAUACAAAUAUGAUAAAAAUGAAUAUAAAAUAAAUAAAAGAAAUGUAAAAAAAUAAUAAUGAAUAAUAAAACGAACGAAAAUACCGGAAAAAAAAGACAAGAUAAUAAGAAAGAAAUAAAAUACAAAAAUAUGAAGAGAAUUCGAGAAUGACAAUAACAACAACAACAACAGCGAAUGACAAUAACUGCAGCAACAACAAUGAUAGUAAUGACAAUAAGACCAGCAACAAGCUACUACAAUAACAACAACAAUAUCGUCAACAAACCAAAAAUUAGAACAAAAUGAAAUAAUAAAUAAUUAACAGCAAAAUGGAAUAAAUAAAAACAAACACACACACACACACAAAUACCAUCAUCGACAAGAACAAGAAGAGGAGGGAAACAGCAAGAUAUGAAAUCUAGGAUAUGUGUGUGUGUGUGUGUGUGUGUGUGUGUGUGUGUUUAUGCGUGUGUGUACGUGUGUGUGCGUGUGUUGGUACAUCGCAGUUGGUGAACAAUAGUGCCGUACUUUCUAACGGACCAAUCGCUGGUUUACUGCAUCUCUGAGGAUAGAAGAAUAAUGCUGGGACGAUUACGAGUUGCUGCAAAAAUCAUUGUCCGCUCAAAGCAUUUCGUUCGAACAGCAACGAUUUCCGCCGAUCUACACGAUAUACCUACCUACCUACCUACCUACCUACCUACCUACCUAGCUCCCUCCCUCCCAACCUACCAACAUUCAGACAUACAAACACACAGAGAGACUCUCACAUAUAUAUGACAACCUUCAAAGAACUAGAAAUAACUAAUUAUUAUCCUAGCCUAAUACGAUUAUCCAUUAAGUUAAUCAAGCAAUAUCAUUAUAUGUAAUCAUGAACCCAUAAACAUGUUCAACCUUACAAGAAUGAAGGACAAAGCAGAAUAACAUAAUCACUAAUAUGCAUAUCAAACAUGCAUUCCCAUCCUCAGCUGCCUAACAUAUAGCACUAUGGUUUUGACACCUGGGCAAUAACGAUCAAUCUGGCGGUAUCAACAGAGUUAAAGACAUAAACUCUAUGUAGAAACAAAUAGAUAAGCAGCAGGAGCGAAUCUUUAGAUUUUUAACUAAAUUUGAAAUUGUUAUAAUGAUAAGCAGGUGUUGGCGAAAUGAGCAUAUUAUGCUAAUAUCUCGUAAUUCAGGUAAAUCAUUAGUCAACUGUUCAGGUGGGCAUUAUAUUUUAUAUUAUGUCGUCAACCAUUAUCAGUAAUUCAGAAAGCUACAGUCUUCUCACACACAUUGUGUUACUCUGUGUAGUUGAGGAUUAAUUAAGUGUACAUGUGUCUGCGGAAUACUCAGCCACUUACUCGUUAACUCAAUGAGCAGAUGAUUCAAUUGAUCUAACAACUGUAAAAUCAUUGUCGAAACUGACGGAGAACCAUCCUUACUGCCCGCCAUUCGUUUUAUAUUGUUGUAUUUCAUACCCAGUAAUAUGUCCUUCAGUCUUUUUUUAAAAAAAUCCUUCGGUAGUGAUUUGAAGGGUAUUUGACUGCUAUUUCUAUUUCUAUCAGAUCGGUUGACUGUCAUCGACGACGCACUAUCACCAAACAAAAAGAAACAACAAAGCAAAUAUAAAAAACAAAACAACAUAUUUAUUUGAUGUUUGUAUUAUAUGCAUUGUUGUUGUUGUCGAUGAUGAUGAUAAUGAUGUUGGUAUUGUUUUCGCUCUUGUUGUAAUCGCUGUCUGGCGCUAUGUUUUAUAUCGCUCUAUUUCUCAGUGUCCCUUUAUGUAUUUUAUUGGUAAAUUAGUCGCAAAUCGAUCGAUUUGGUUAUUUGAACUACAAAUAUCAAUACUGAAUGAGACACAAUGAUUGAUUUGGUUUGAUUAAUCAUUAUGUUUGAUGAGAAUGACAGUGAUUAUGAUGAUGUAUUAAUAAGUGGUAGAAAAUAAUUGGUGAAAGCCUUGAAACUUGUGGGAAGCGUGGGAUGAUGAUUGUCGAUCAUAUCGACACGUAAACGUGUCUGCUAUUUUAUUUUACGAAGCCCAAGGUGGAGCAAAGCAGAGAGAUUUGUAGAUUUGAUCUCAGUGGGGACAGAACCGGAACGAAUUCCACAAGCAAUAUUUAUUCUGGUCAUACACACAAAGGGAGCUCAUAGCCUUUUUUCUAUCUCCAUUUGUUUACUAAUAAAAUUCGUGUGUGUGUGUGUGUGUGUGUGUGUUCCCGAUUACAAUCGGAUCGUGUAGCAUUCUUUAUUUUUCGCAGAGUAUCAGACCAUAAAUUCAAUAUGUGAAUAAAGUUGU